rnacentral:rRNA from 1 species
UGGGGAAUAUUGCGCAAUGGGCGAAAGCCUGACGCAGCCAUGCCGCGUGUGUGAAGAAGGCUCUAGGGUUGUAAAGCACUUUCAGUGGGGAGGAAGGCCUGUAGAUUAAUACUCUGCAGGAUUGACGUUACCCACAGAAGAAGCACCGGCUAACUCCGUGCCAGCAGCCGCGGUAAUACGGAGGGUGCAAGCGUUAAUCGGAAUUACUGGGCGUAAAGCGCGCGUAGGCGGUUUGGUCAGUUGGAUGUGAAAGCCCCGGGCUCAACCUGGGAACUGCAUUCAAUACUGCCAGACUAGAGUAUGAGAGAGGGGGGUAGAAUUCCUAGUGUAGCGGUGAAAUGCGUAGAUAUUAGGAGGAAUACCAGUGGCGAAGGCGGCCCCCUGGCUUGAUACUGACGCUGAGGUGCGAAAGCGUGGGUAGCGAACAGGAUUAGAUACCCCCGUAGUCC